rnacentral:rRNA from 1 species
GAUGAACGCUGGCGGCGUGCCUAAUACAUGCAAGUCGGACGCGCAGCGAAAGGUGCUUGCACCUUUCAAGCGAGUGGCGAACGGGUGAGUAACACGUGGAUAACCUGCCUCAAGGCUGGGGAUAACAUUUGGAAACAGAUGCUAAUACCAAAUAAAACUUAGUAUCGCAUGAUACAAAGUUAAAAGGCGCUACGGCGUCACCUAGCGAUGGAUCCGCGGUGCAUUCGUUAGUUGGUGGGGUAAAGGCUUACCAAGACGAUGAUUCAUAGCCGGGUUGAGAGACUGACGGGCCACACUGGGACAGAGACACGGCCCAAACUCCGACGGGAGGCUGCAGUAGGGAAUCUUCCACAAUGGGCGCAAGCCUGAUGGGGCAACGCCGCGUGUGGGAUGAAGGCUUUCGGGUCGUAAAGCACUGUUGUAUGGGAAGAAAUGCUAAAAUAGGGAAUGAUUUUAGUUUGACGGUACCAUACCAGAAAGGGACGGCUAAAUACGUGCCAGCAGCCGCGGUAA